CGCCGGCCGCCGAUACGGCGCUGCCCCGGCCGCCCCCCCAGCCGCGCUUGGGCUCGGCUCAUCUGCAGCCGCCGCGAUCAACCUGCGGCUCCCGCUGACAGCCGGGCGGGGCCGCUCCGCCCAGCGGCAAGACGGGAAAUGUAGUCCGGGGCUGGGCACCGGGCCUGCCGUGAGAGUUUGGCCCGGCAGGUGCCCAGCCUGAAGAUGUGAGGUGCUGCCCUGCAUCACGCUGCUCCCCCCACCACCCCUUUACCCUGUCCCACACGGACAGGUUGCCCAAAAUCUCAAGCAGUGAGGGAGAUUAGCAGCACAGUAACCGAGCCUCGAACUGCUACAGAUCUUGCUACCAUCCUUGUGGUCUGCCCUGAGAUGUUUGCUGUCUGAAAAGCAGCGCUGCAUUUCUACCCUGUUUCAGUGUUGAGAUACCAGAAACGUUUUGAAGGUAAUUCUCCCUCAAAAAUACUUUGAUUGUUUGUUUUGGUUUGUAUGAAUGCAUAAACAGGUAUCGUUCUACAUGGAAAGAGCUUGUGAGCUCCUCCUCCACCCACGAAAGUCACUAAUAAAGCCAGGAGGACAAUAGCCGAGGAACCAAGUGUACAAGGUCAUACCUUGUACAGAUAGAGCAUGGCAUUUCACACUUUAUUUUGGUGAAGGAACAUUAUUCAAGACAGGAAAGUAAAGUGAAUAGCUAUUUUGCACUAUGCUGGGUUGGAAGUACAGGAAGGAUCUGGCUGCAUGGUUCAGUGAUCCAUGGCUCAGGACAACAGCAGUCUGUCUUUGCACUGGCUAAAGUGACUGCAGGGGAGUCUUGCUGUCAGGACCAAAGGUUAGAUUCCAGUCCUGCUGAAAGACUGAUGUUCCCAAGAAAAAGAAGAUUCAAUAUGAAGUAUCACCUGGCAAAGUUCAACCUCUAUCUCGCUGAGUUGAUGCAAUAUAAGAAGACCUGUGCCUCUAUUGUUUGUGCUUCUGUGUUCUUUCUGAAUAAAAUAAAGUAAUAAAAUGAAAAUAAACUAAAAUAAUAGCAUAAAUAAAACA
rnacentral:lncRNA from 1 species